rnacentral:rRNA from 1 species
UACGUAGGUGGCAAGCGUUGUCCGGAUUUACUGGGCGUAAAGAGCGCGCAGGCGGUCGUUCAAGUCGGGUGUGAAAGCCCUCAGCUCAACUGAGGAAGUGCGCCCGAAACUGCAGAGCUUGAGUGCCGGAGAGGGUGGCGGAAUUCCCCAAGUAGAGGUGAAAUUCGUAGAUAUGGGGAGGAACACCGGUGGCGAAGGCGGCCACCUGGACGGUAACUGACGCUGAGGCGCGAAAGCGUGGGUAGCAAACAGG